GGGUCUUGGGAUAUUUGGAGUUAAGCGUCCUUGGGUUUGAAUAGUACUAGGCUAGGUGACCUCCCGGGAAGUUCAAACUCAGGAGCUU
rnacentral:rRNA from 1 species